GUGCAGCAGCCGCGGUAAUACCGGCCGCCCGAGUGAUGGCCGAUAUUAUUGGGCCUAAAGCGUCCGUAGCUGGCCGAACAAGUCCGUCGGGAAAUCCACGUGCUUAACACGUGGGCGACCGGCGGAAACUGUUCGGCUUGGGGCCGGAGGACCCGAGGGGUCCGUCCGGGGUAGGCGUGAAAUCCUGUAAUCCCGCACGGACCACCGAUGGCGAAAGCACUUCGAGAAAACGGAUCCGACAGUGAGGGACGAAAGCCAGGGUCUCCAACCGGAUUAGAAACCCGGGUAGUCC
rnacentral:rRNA from 1 species